GACCGCGUAGCUCGGUUGGAAGAGCAUUGGGCUGGUAUUCCAAAGGUCGUAGGUUCGAAUCCCACCGCGGCCG
rnacentral:tRNA from 1 species